AAUGAACGCUGGCGGCAUGCCUAAUACAUGCAAGUCGAACGACAGCACAGUAAGCUCUUUCCUCUGACGUUAGCGAGUGGCGGACGGGUGACAAGUACAUCACCUUCUACUUUUUCUUGGAUGAUAUCGUAAGGAAACUGACGCUACUACCGCAUAUGUCCUACGGGUUAAUUCAGUAGAUAUUGGCGGCUUUCCCGUCUCUAUUAGCUGAUGUCGGAUUAGCUAGUUGGCUAGGUAAAGGCCCACCAAGGCAACGAUCCGUAGCUGAUCUGAGAGGAUGAUCGGCCACACUGGAACUGAGACACGGUCCAGACUCCUACGGGAGGCAGCAGUAGGGAAUCUUCCGCAAUGGGCGAAAGCCUGAUGGAGCAAUGCCGCGUGAGUGAUGAAGGCCUUCGGAUCGUAAAGCCCUGUUGUUAGGAAAGAACAAAAGCGGAAGAAACUAUGGACGUCCUGACGGUACCCAAACAGAAAGCAACGGCUAACUUCGUG
rnacentral:rRNA from 1 species